rnacentral:rRNA from 1 species
UACGAAGGGGGCUAGCGUUGUUCGGAAUUACUGGGCGUAAAGCGCACGUAGGCGGAUAUUUAAGUUAGGGGUGAAAUCCCAGGGCUCAACCCUGGAACUGCCUUUAAUACUGGGUAUCUAGAGUCCGAGAGAGGUGAGUGGAAUUCCGAGUGUAGAGGUGAAAUUCGUAGAUAUUCGGAGGAACACCAGUGGCGAAGGCGGCUCACUGGCUCGGUACUGACGCUGAGGUGCGAAAGCGUGGGGAGCAAACAGGAUUAGAUACCCUGUUAGUCCACGCCGUAAACGAUGGAAGCCAGCUGUCGGCAAGUUUACUUGUCGGUGGCGCAGCUAACGCAUUAAGCUUCCCGCCUGGGGAGUACGGUCGCAAGAUUAAA